GAUGAACGCUGGCGGCGUGCCUAAUACAUGCAAGUCGAGCGAACGGACGAGAAGCUUGCUCCUCUGACGUUAGCGGCGGACGGGUGAGUAACACGUGGAUAACCUACCUAUAAGACUGGGAUAACUUCGGGAAACCGGAGCUAAUACCGGAUAAUAUUUUGAACCGCAUGGUUCAAAAGUGAAAGACGGUCUUGCUGUCACUUAUAGAUGGAUCCGCGCUGCAUUAGCUAGUUGGUAAGGUAACGGCUUACCAAGGCAACGAUGCGUAGCCGACCUGAGAGGGUGAUCGGCCACACUGGAACUGAGACACGGUCCAGACUCCUACGGGAGGCAGCAGUAGGGAAUCUUCCGCAAUGGGCGAAAGCCUGACGGAGCAACGCCGCGUGAGUGAAGAAGGUCUUCGGAUCGUAAAACUCUGUUAUUAGGGAAGAACAAAUGUGUAAGUAACUAUGCACGUCUUGACGGUACCUAAUCAGAAAGCCACGGCUAACUACGUG
rnacentral:rRNA from 1 species